UGCUCACUGAUCUGGCUCACUAUUGCCG
rnacentral:piRNA from 1 species